rnacentral:rRNA from 1 species
UACAGAGGGUGCGAGCGUUGACCGGAAUCACUGGGCGUAAAGGGCGCGUAGGUGGCCUGGUAAGUAGGGGGUGAAAUCUCGCGGCUCAACUGCGAGGCUGCCUCCUAAACUGUCAGGCUCGAGCAGAGUAGAGGCAGGUGGAAUUCCCGGUGUAGCGGUGGAAUGCGUAGAGAUCGGGAAGAACAUCGGUGGCGAAGGCGGCCUGCUGGGCUCUUGCUGACACUGAGGCGCGACAGCGUGGGGAGCAAACAGG